rnacentral:misc_RNA from 1 species
AAACAAAACAAGCAGCAUCCAAGUCCCAAGAAGCUUAACAUUAUUCCCCCUAUCAAUCUCAAUAAUAGUCAUAUAGCAAUUGACUUCAUUUCAAACCAAGAUAUAGUCACAUAGUAAUUGAGUUCAAAACCAAGACCUAACCACACAUUUAUUUAUUUCUACAAAGCUUAGCAACUUGCAUAAACAAGUUUCUAUUUUCUGCUUUGGUAAUUGGUAGCAUACACAUACUAAAACAUAUCUUUCAACUAACAACUAUUUCUUUAGCCACACUGCAGACAACUCUUCAAGAUUAUUUAAUCUUCUGUUCUUCUCCUACAGGUCUUAUUCUAUUAUUAUCUUUCUUGACCACUUUCUACAACUAUAAUUGGAGAAGAGAAGCUCAAUAAGUCCAAUCCUGAGGCAAUCCCAUCUCUGUAGGAAGAUGACAGUAGCAACCCACCUGCUUGGUAACCCCCCCUAGCCUUCUCAUGGAAUUCCUCUGUUGGGUUACUUGAAUCUCUUGUCUACUUCUCACACCUUGCUUCCUUUUAAAAUCAGUGGUAGCAGGAGAGGCGGUUGUGGGGUUCACAAUGCGAGGAUGGAAAACACCAGUACCCCCAGAUUCUCUCACAAUACCACCUCCUCCUCCUCUUAAUGCAAACCCACUUCCUUGAAACGGAUCAAGCCUAUUCUGGAGAGGGUUUCGCUGCCUCUGCAAAACCCUGGGACUUGCUUCCAUGUAGCUACCAACCUGUGGCUGUACUUGAAACUCAUAAAACGGUUCAGACCGAGCCAAAAGGGAUGCAGUUCCGUAUCCAAAAAGUCUAUGACCGAGUUCAGCACCGCCAUUGAAACCAAGGUACCCAGGUGGCAAGCAGCUCACCGAUACAUCCCGAACCGCCAUUUUAACCUUCUGGGAGUUGAGUGGCGGUUUUGGAGGGAGUCUUGAAGGAGUUGAAGAUAAGUGAUUGUGGAGCAAAGAAAGAGCAGCGAAAUGGUCAGCAAGAUCCUCCAUGCAAGAGAGGCGAUAAGGACUGUAUUUUGAGGGAACUUCAUUGAGGAAAAUAUCAGACGGAAGCCAAAGUUCCCCAUCAUCCAAAUUCGGAGGAAACUCCGCCAUUAAAGAAAGAAACAAGAAUAUUGUAAAUGGGUUUUCUGUGUAAAAUACAGUAAGCAAAAGAGAAAGAAAGAGAAAGUGAGACCGAGCCGAGAGCUUCAACUCCAAGGACUGGAACGGGAUAUUUAUGAUUUCUAUUUUUUUUUGGGAAUAGGCGACUGUAGUGAGCAGAGAGAAGGAGAGCCUCUGGUUUCCAAAUAUGACGUUACGAGUUUCUCUCUGUAUGAAAAGGAUAAUUGGAAAGCGAUGGAAAAAGUAAAA